rnacentral:lncRNA from 1 species
AAGUUGGGGCUUUCGUAGAAAGUGCUGGUUUAAAGAGGCCAGCAUUCUAUCCUGUGGCAGGAAGUCAGGUUGGAUCGAAUCACAUUCAAAAUGACGGGAGGUCGGAUUGGGCCGAGUCAUGUUCAAAAUGAUAUAAGGCUGAUUGCGUCGAGUCACAAUUAAAAGAGACGUGUGGGUGUUGUGUGUUUCUAAUAGCUCGAGCUUUUGAAAUUAAUGGUUAGCGCCAACGAUCCGACAGAAAGCUGUUCGAGUAGAGAUAUCCGAAGAAAGUAUUUGUAAAUUGUUUCCUUCUUCCUUGCAAGAAGAAUAACGUAGUGCGUGCUUUCAACCGAACAAAUCUUUUGGCAGCAUUCAGUAAUAUAAAACAAUUGUUAUACUAGUAGAGAACAAUAUUUUCAUAUUUUUAUACUUAACAUUCUUCCUCGCGUCUGAACUCGAGAUAUUUUCAUAGAUCCAUGACGCGAACUUGAAUUGAAUGGGAGAAAACAAUUAUGCUAGGAGCCUUUCGUGCUUGAUUGAAGUUAGACUUUCAAGCAUUUAAGAUUUUAUUUUAGAUAUUCUGACCAUCUUUAAAUUUAUGUAACUAAGAAUGUAGAAUUAUCAAACACGAACAUGACUUGCGAACUCAAAUGGCCACCAAUGAUCACUUAAAAGAAAACUAUAUCCCUAACUAGAGUCACAAAACAAUUUCCUCAAAUAAUUCCUCUUAACCCAACUACUUAUAUAGAUCUACUCCAUGAUAUAUCAUAUCAACAAAAUAAAUUAGAUAAUUUAACU